GAUGCUAUUCUAGAGAUAGAAGUUACUUCGGUACAUCGGUGACAGGUAGUGCAUGGUUGUCGUCAGCUCGUGUCGUGAGAUGUUGGGUUAAGUCCCGCAACGAGCGCAACCCCUAUUGUUAGUUGCCAUCAUUCAGUUGGGCACUCUAGCGAGACUGCCGGUAAUAAACCGGAGGAAGUGGGGAUGACGUCAAAUCAUCAUGCCCCUUAUGACCUGGGCUACACACGUGCUACAAUGGUUGGUACAACGAGUUGCGAGUCGGUGACGGCGAGCUAAUCUCUUAAAGCCAAUCUCAGUUCGGAUUGUAGGCUGCAACUCGCCUACAUGAAGUCGGAAUCGCUAGUAAUCGCGGAUCAGCACGCCGCGGUGAAUACGUUCCCGGGCCUU
rnacentral:rRNA from 1 species